AUCUCUAUCACAAAUCAAAACAAAACAAAGUUACAUUUACAUCAAAAAACUAAGACAAUUGGACGAAAUUGGUGGCUUCGAUGUCCUUGCCACAACGCACCCACCCAACCUUGGGUGCCCCAAGAAUGAGGUAGGAGGCACACCCCAUCUCCGGCAGACCGGAGUCUAUUCCUGGUGGAUUAGGAUCGGCUCAUCUCCCCGCCCAAGGCCGAACUCAGACCGUCGCCCAGAUGAGAAGCGGUCAAAGCGGCAACAACAGAAGGGAAAUUUUUAGACGCUUAAAAUUACAAAUUGGAGGCGUUUGCCAACCGGGUCGCCUAAUCCUGAGGAGCUCAAAGGGAAAAGAAGGGACGUGCUGAAAAGGUAAAGUUCAACGUCGGAUGUGGUUGAAGCUGCAGCCAGAAGAGAAAAAUCGCUAGCGGAGAAAACCAGCACGAGUCCGGAGAAUAGCGCAGCGGCUGCGUAAGAGGGGCCGGAGGCAGUGCGUCGGUGGACUUAGAGAUGACCACGUGGUCAGCGCGGGCAUUCGUUCCCGGAACGGACUCACCGAGGCAGUUGCGGGAGCUGCUGACGCUGGAGGCUGCUGCUGCUGCUGCGGCUGAUGCUGCUGAUCGCUGCUGUGGCUAAUGCUGCUGCGGAUGCUGAUCGCUGUUGCUGCUGAGGCUAAUGCUGCUGCUGCGGUUAAUGCUGCUACUGAACCAGGAUCACUGCUGCUGAACCUGGAUCACUGCUGCUGCUGGUGGACGACGUGGUCCUCACGAGUCCGGAGAAUAGCGCAGCGGCUGCGUAAGAGGGGCCGGAGGCAGUGCGUCGGUGGACUAAGAGAUGACCACGUGGUCAGCGCGGGCAUUCGUUCCCGGA